ACUCCUCAAGACUGCGGUGACUCAAUUAGCCAGACAGACUGCAAACAUGCACUUGCUUGGUGGACAGGUGCAUGGUGUAGAACAGAGGGUUUUCCAGCCCUGGCUCCAAUGAGCAGUGACUGAGAACUAGGAUAGGAGCCUGGUCCUCUGGGGUCCGUCCGGUCCUGCUCAGAUCCGCUGUCCAGCUCUAGGGUGGCGGACCUGGGGAACCCGGGUCGAGUCUCCAUGGUGCGCGCCUCGGGUGGAAAGCCUGGCGCAGCGGCGGCCUUAGCAGAACCGCAUACAGCCACCUGGGAGGAUCGCAGGCGCCCCAGGGCCGUGACACUUCACCCGCCUCCAGCGGCCCACGCCCCUACCGGGCCAGGCGCCCAGACCCGCCCGCCGCAGGUGGGGCAGCCAGGGCCCGCGAGUAGGUGCGUGGGAUGAUCUCACCGCGUGCGGCGCGCCAGGAGGAGGAGGAGCGGGAGCGAUCCCAACUUCCGGGUAGUGCAGCCGCACGCCGCGCCACCGGCAUCUUGCUUUCUGCUCCCCCUCCCCCGUGUCCCCCUCGCCUCUCCCUCCUUGCCUUUUAUCCCCAGCCCCACCCGCCAAAAUGAACAGCUCGGACGAGGAGAAGCAGCUGCAGCUCAUCACCAGCUUGAAGGAGCAAGCCAUUGGCGAAUAUGAAGACCUUCGAGCAGAGAACCAGAAAACAAAGGAGAAGUGUGACAAAAUUAGGCAAGAACGAGAUGAAGCUGUUAAAAAACUGGAAGAGUUUCAGAAAAUUUCACAUAUGGUUAUAGAGGAGGUGAAUUUCAUGCAGAACCAUCUUGAAAUAGAGAAGACAUGUCGAGAGAGCGCUGAAGCCUUGGCGACAAAGCUAAAUAAAGAAAAUAAAACACUGAAAAGAAUCAGCAUGCUAUACAUGGCCAAACUGGGGCCAGACGUAAUUACAGAGGAGAUAAACAUUGAUGAUGAUGACCCAGCCACCGACACAGAUGCUGCGGCUGAGACCUGUGUGUCUGUUCAGUGUCAGAAGCAAAUCAAAGAACUUCGAGAUCAAAUUGUGUCUGUUCAGGAAGAAAAGAAGGUGUUAGCCAUCGAGCUGGAAAACCUCAAGAGCAAACUCGGGGAGGUGAUGGAGGAGGUAAAUAAAGUUAAGCAAGAAAAAGCUGUUUUAAAUUCAGAAGUCCUUGAGCAGAGGAAAGUCUUAGAAAAAUGCAACAGAGUGUCCAUGUUGGCUGUUGAAGAGUAUGAGGAACUGCAAGUGAACCUGGAACUGGAGAAGGACCUUCGCAAGAAAGCAGAGUCUUUUGCACAAGAGAUGUUCAUUGAACAAAACAAACUGAAGAGACAAAGCCACCUUCUGCUGCAGAGCUCCCUUCCUGACCAGCAGCUUUUGAAAGCUUUAGACGAAAACGCAAAACUUAUCCAGCAGCUUGAAGAAGAGAGGAUCCAGCAUCAGAAAAAGGUCAAAGAGCUGGAGGAGCGGCUGGAGAAUGAAGCACUUCACAAAGAGAUCCAUAACCUCAGACAACAGCUGGAGCUUCUGGAAGACGACAAGAGGGAGCUAGAGCAGAAAUACCAGAGCUCGGAGGAGAAGGCCCGGAACCUGAAGCAUUCAGUGGAUGAACUUCAGAAGCGAGUGAACCAGUCUGAGAAUUCGGUACCUCCCCCGCCUCCUCCUCCUCCACCUCUCCCCCCUCCACCUCCCAAUCCAAUCCGGUCCCUCAUGUCUAUGAUCCGGAAGCGAUCUCACCCCAGUGGCAAUAGUGCUAAGAAAGAAAAGACAACUCAGCCAGAGACAGCUGAGGAAGUCACAGACCUGAAGAGGCAAGCAGUGGAAGAGAUGAUGGACAGAAUUAAGAAGGGAGUUCAUCUUAGACCGGUUAACCAGACAGCCAGACCCAAGGCAAAGCCAGACUCUCUCAAGGGCUCAGAAAGUGCGGUGGAUGAGCUGAAGGGAAUCCUGGGGACACUUAACAAAUCCACUAGUUCGAGAAGCUUAAAAUCCCUUGGCCCUGAGAACAGUGAAACUGAGUUAGAGAGGAUUUUACGUCGCAGAAAGCUGACGGCAGAAGCAGAUAGCAGUAGUCCUACCGGGAUAUUAGCCACCUCAGAGUCCAAGUCCAUGCCAGUGUUGGGUUCUGUAUCCAGUGUAACAAAAUCAGCCUUGAACAAGAAAACUCUGGAGGCAGAAUUCAACAACCCGUGUCCCCUAACACCUGAGCCAGGUGAAGGGCCCCGUAAAUUGGAAGGAUGCACGAAUCCCAAGGUUACCUUUCAGAUGCUGAGAGCAGUUCCUGGAGAGUUCUAAUUCCCAGCUGAUGAAGACAGCUUUUGCUAGGAGAUGUUAACCACCCUUCGCCUGCAGACACACGGGGCCAUGAAAACGCCCACAGUAGCCCAAGGGAGCAACAGAGGCCUCCCAGUAAAGGUGGAUACAGGAGAAAAUGUGUGGGCAGUGAAAACCAAGCUGAGCCAGUUGUAGUAUUAGAUCCUGUUUCCACACACGAACCCCAAACCAAAGACCAGGCUGCUGAAAAAGACCCAACUCAAUUCGAGGAGGAGGGAGGUGAAACCCAACCAGAAUACAAAGAAGACAGCGGUGGGAAAACAGGAGAGACGGACAGUUCCAACUGCUGAUCUGAAACCAGAGGCUGGCAGGUUGGUGGGGCCUUCUCAAGGAGCACGUGGCUCGUCUGCGUGUAACCGGCAGGAACUGUUGGACAUUCCUUUGUUCUGGCCACACACUUCUUUGCUGGUAUCACUUUGUAAGUAGCAAUCAUAAGUAAGCUGUUUAGCAAAAUGCAUCUUCUGGGUAGUUUUUAAUCUUUACAGGAGUGAGGGUUCUUUCCGGUUUCUAUAUGAAGUAUGACUUCCCUGAGGCGGUGGCGGAACUCAGAGGUUGGUGUCUUUACAGGGAACAUAUGUACCCCUCAUCAAAUUAUUCACGGGAAAAUUCAAGGUGGUUGCUGGUAACUGUAUAAACAGAGACCACCAAACUUAACAAUUAUCUUAAAGGCACCCUUUAAUCCAAGCCCUAGGGCAUGGAGAGACCAAGGCAAGAGGAUCACGUGAGCCUGAGUCUUAGUUUGGAUCACACAGUACAACUCCAUAUAAAGAACAUAUAAAGAAAAGAAGGCCCGCAAGAGUCUCUGGGGUCUGGUCUUCUGAUGGGAAACUGCAGCAGCCUCAACGUCAGUGGGUCCUAUAGCGUCUCUGUUUUGAAGGGUGCGUGAGACCUUCCGUCUCUGAGCUCAGGAGGUGGCAUCAUGGACUCUUAGGUCUCAAUUGAACACAGUUGACUAUUGUGUGGAAAUCAUGACCCUGUGUCCAAGGCUUUACAGAGUCCUUCAGGGUGAUGUCUUGGCAGCAUCAACAGAGAAUUGGCUUAGAGGGACGCUCAAACCUUGAAUUUAACAGGGAUUCCUCGGUAAGCUACUAGUUCUGUUCCAUGAGUUAACUGUGUUUUCCCACACAUUCACGUGCCACAAGUACCAUAUUUUACACCAGCUCUCACGCACAGUGAAGAUAAGUGACAAGCACACAUUGUUUUUCUCCCUUCACUGCGGAUCUAUACUACAUGGGUCUUUUCUUGUUUUGUUUUGUUUUGUUUUGUUUUUUAGAGGAAAUUAAGUGGUAGUUUCUAAGAAUACAAUGUUUCACACUACCACGGUGAAUAAAUAGAAAUGUAAUCAGGGAUUUAAAAAAAAAAACUUAUGCAGGUUUUCAAAGUUGAUUGUUUCAAAAUUGGUGUUUAUUUAAAAUAAGUGGUAAUGUACUUGAGUGCACUUUUUAUGAUAAUGAUUCAGUAAUGGUAAUUUUACUAUUAAGGAAAUGGAAAGGCUUAGUUUUGUUAGCAUGACUCGGCAUGUAGCUGUCAGGUGCUCUGCACCUGAGGGCAAAAGAAAAUGAUAACAAUUGCAGUAGUUGUAUCCUAUUGUAUUUUUGCACGUGUGCUACUAGCGUGGGCCUGGGGAGGUGGGAAGGCAGGUGAGGACACUUCCUCGGCUUGGGGACAAUUCUCUUUCUGUAGGGUCAAUGGGCUUGACUGUUUUCCCUGUCUGUCAGUGCUGAUUUUAUAUCCCUGUCAGUUUACUCAUGGGGAAUUAAAACGCGAUUUUUUUUUUCAA